UCGCUACUACCGAUUGAAUGGCUUAGUGAGGUCUUGGGAUUGGCUUCGGGAAGCCGGCAACGGCAUCCUGUCGCUGAGAACUUGAUCAAACUUGGUCAUUUAGAGGAAGUAAAAGUCGUAACAAGGUUUCCGUAGGUGAACCUGCGGAAGGAUCAUUAUCGAGUUUUGACUGGGUUGUAGCUGGCCUUCCGAGGCAUGUGCACGCCCUGCUCAUCCACUCUACACCUGUGCACUUACUGUGGGUUUUACGGGUCGUGAAAUGGGCUCGUUCAUUCGGGCUUGUUGAGCGCACUUGUUGCCUGCGUUUAUCACAAACUCCAUAAAGUAUUAGAAUGUGUAUUGCGAUGUAACGCAUCUAUAUACAACUUUCAGCAACGGAUCUCUUGGCUCUCGCAUCGAUGAAGAACGCAGCGAAAUGCGAUAAGUAAUGUGAAUUGCAGAAUUCAGUGAAUCAUCGAAUCUUUGAACGCACCUUGCGCUCCUUGGUAUUCCGAGGAGCAUGCCUGUUUGAGUGUCAUGAAAUCUUCAAUCUACAAGCUUCUUAUGGGAGUUUGUAGGCUUGGACUUGGAGGCUUGUCGGUCCUUUACAGGUCGGCUCCUCUCAAAUGCAUUAGCUUGGUUCCUUGCGGAUCGGCUUGUCGGUGUGAUAAUGUCUACGCCGCGACCGUGAAGCGUGUUUGGGCGAGCUUCUAACCGUCUCGUUACGGAGACAACUUUAUGACCUCUGACCUCAAAUCAGGUAGGACUACCCGCUGAACUUAAGCAUAUCAAUAA
rnacentral:rRNA from 1 species